CAGCACUUGUUAUCUUUCCAUACUCGCUAAAAGCCUUCUUCAAGUCAUCAUCGGUUGUGCUUUCCCCGAGAUUCUUCACGUACACGUUGGUGAACUUGGUCUUGUUAGCAGACGAGUCUCUUUCUUGUCUCCUGAGGAAAGGACCAACAUACACUUGCUUGUCGUUAAGCAACAUGCCGUUCAGUUUCUCGAUAGCUUUCUGGGCGGAUUCUUCAUCAGCGUAUUGCACAAACCCAUAGCCUUUUGACUGGCCAGAAGCAUCCACAGCCACCUUGCAGGAGACAAUGUUCCCAAAGGUUGAAAAGGUGUCAUGGAGUGCCUUGUGGUCGAUGGCCAGGUCCAAAUUCUUCAUUAUUAUAACACCAGUAAGAAAGAGAGAGAGAUAAAACAAACACACAACUGAAGAAAAACAACUAAUUUUAGUAUAAUCCCUAACAAUCACAAGACAAGAGUACCUUGAUGAAUAUGUUACCAGCACCACUUCGGCGAACACUAGGAUCACGGUGAGAGUACAUAACCCUUAUAGGUUUCCCAUAGAGAGGCAUGAAGUUCAUUUCCUGGAUUGCUCUCGCAGCUGCAAGGGAGAGAGCACAACGAAUUAACACCAAAGGAUCAACAUUUACAACACAACCCAAUCAAAUAUUUACAGUAUUACCCCUAUCAACCAAACCUAACCAGAAAGGAUCAACAUUUAUAAGUGGAAACCCUAAUCCCCUUUCUGAUAAAAAUCGAAACUUUCUCAUCUCAGAAGGCUUACCAUCUUGGGGAUUAGCGAAGUUGACGUAACCAUACCCUAGCGACUUGCGAGUGGCCAAGUCUCUGCAAACCCUAACCGAAACCACUUGACCCAUCUGGCUAAACGCCUCGAAAAGCUGCGAGUCAGUCACAUUGAGAUCCAGAUCUCCAACAUAGAGCGACGUUGUACCGAUCUGGGCCGGAGCCUGUGCUCGGCUGCACCGCCAGCUGCAACGCUCCUCAGAACAUCCAUUGCCUCUGCAACUUUAGCCUCGAGAGCUUCUGGAGACUCCAAGAGAUGGAGAACUUCGGUCUGGUCCAUCUCCAAAAGCAUCCCAGUCACUUUGGCUGCAGACUCUGCCUCGAGCUUCUCCACCAACGGGUACAGAUUCUCACCCAGCAUCUGUGUACAAACACAGACACAACUAGAGUUAGUCACAACAUUCUAAUAAAUCCCAAACAAAAGGAGUCUUCUUUUAGAGAUGAUCCUCUCUCACUCACCGUCCUCUGUUGCUCUGGAGAAGCAUUAGCCAGAUUUGAAGCCAACGUUCCAAUGGGCAAUGGCAUGUUGUUGUUGCCCAUGUCAUAUGGAGGCACAUCGCCACCACUAACACCACGCCCUUGGGAGUACCGGAUGUUCCGACCCCUUGGAUGCAUCUGAUCACCACCCAGAUAGAUUGAAAAAAAAUCAUAUGAUGAUGAUGAUGAACUAUUGUAUUAAAAGAGAGACAUGAGCAAGUGAAGAGAGUAGAGAACCUGGUGCUGCAUCAUGGGAGGUUGCUGCUGGAACUGUUGGAUCCCUCCAGGGCGUCUUCCACCACCUCCAGGGCGCUGCUGAUGUGGCUGAACCAUAGGCAUGAAGUAAUUGGGUCCAUGGCCUCCACCUGGUCUCAUCCCCGGAACAAGCUGCUGUUGGUAUCCAUAUCCGGGCUGUGUCAUUACCCACAUAAAAAGGUUAAUGAUCUUAUAAUUGAAUUCUAUAUCCAAGGUACAAGAUAGACAAGUAAAUUAAAAAAUAGAUAAAUAUCUUUGCAAGCAAUCGAACAACGAACAAUGAUGAUACCUGGGGAGGAAUCAUGGUAGGAGGGGCUUGACCAUAGAACAUCUGCUGUCCAAUACCAGGACCCCCCGGGGGAAACAUUGGCAUGCGAGGGCCAGCAGUUGGCGGCAUUGCAACUGGCCUCGGUUGGGAAAACUGAGCCUGUUCACAUCAUGUACACUCUCAGCAACAGGAGAUAAAAAUGGAAACAUGGAUAGACAACGUAGGUGUAGUUAGUAUAUCACAAAAUGGGGAGAUUCCAAGAGAAGCAAACCUGUAGUCUGACCCUUCUGUCUUCCUUCUUCUGCGCAAUAGCAACAUAGAGUGGUUUGCUUUCGACCAUCUUACCACUCAACUGUGACAUCUGCAACAUCAUUAUUCCACUGUCAGUAACAACGAAGUGCCUUACCUCACACAUACAUUGAACAAGUGUAUAUAUCCGACUUACAGCUUCUGUUGCUUCUUCGGGAGUCGAGAAAGCAACAAAACCCGAACCCUUGCUGAUUCCACUAGGAUCACGCAUCACCUGUCAUCAUAUUUAACCAAAACGCUUCUUAUAUAAUGAAGCAAGAGAGUCGUCAAUUCACUUAAAGAGAGAGAAGAUACCGAACCUUGCAAGACGUAACAGUACCAAAAGGAGAGAAUAUCUCCUUGAGUUUCUCGUCAGAUAUGCUAGGAUCCAGAUUCUUCACAUACAAGUUUGAACUCUGAAACUUUUCAGCAGCUUCCUUCAAGUUCUGCUCAUAACGGACCCUUAGUUCCGUUUCCCUCUCGGACUUCUUCUGGGCUCUACCAACAUACCACUCCUUGUCAUCAAACUUGUGCCCAUUGAGAGCCUCCACAGCCCUGGCAGCAUCAUCAGCGUUUUCAAAGUUGACAAAGCCAAAGCCCUUAGACUUCCCUUCACCGUCUUUCAUCACCACAGCACUUGUUAUCUUUCCAUACUCGCUAAAAGCCUUCUUCAAGUCAUCAUCGGUUGUGCUUUCCCCGAGAUUCUUCACGUACACGUUGGUGAACUUGGUCUUGUUAGCAGACGAGUCUCUUUCUUGUCUCCUGAGGAAAGGACCAACAUACACUUGCUUGUCGUUAAGCAACAUGCCGUUCAGUUUCUCGAUAGCUUUCUGGGCGGAUUCUUCAUCAGCGUAUUGCACAAACCCAUAGCCUUUUGACUGGCCAGAAGCAUCCACAGCCACCUUGCAGGAGACAAUGUUCCCAAAGGUUGAAAAGGUGUCAUGGAGUGCCUUGUGGUCGAUGGCCAGGUCCAAAUUCUUCAUUAUUAUAACACCAGUAAGAAAGAGAGAGAGAUAAAACAAACACACAACUGAAGAAAAACAACUAAUUUUAGUAUAAUCCCUAACAAUCACAAGACAAGAGUACCUUGAUGAAUAUGUUACCAGCACCACUUCGGCGAACACUAGGAUCACGGUGAGAGUACAUAACCCUUAUAG
rnacentral:lncRNA from 1 species